UUCCCCUAGUAACGGCGAGUGAAGAGGGAAGAGCCCAAGAUUGAAAGCUGGCGCCUUCGGCGUCCGCAUUGUAAUCUCAAGAAGUGUUUUCCGCUUCGGACCAUGCCUAAGUCCCUUGGAAAAGGGCAUCAUAGAGGGUGAUAAUCCCGUACAUGGCAUGGAGCGCCCGAAGCUAUGUGAUACACUUUCUAAGAGUCGAGUUGUUUGGGAAUGCAGCUCAAAAUGGGUGGUAAAUGCCAUCUAAGGCUAAAUAUUGGGGAGAGACCGAUAGCGAACAAGUACAGUGAUGGAAAGAUGAAAAGAACUUUGAAAAGAGAGUUAAACAGUACGUGAAAUUGCCAAAAGGGAAGGGUAGGAGGUCAGAGAUGCGGCCUGGGAUUCAGCCUUGCUUUUGCUUGGUGUUUUUCCCAGAUUGCAGGCCAACGUCGGUUUUGGGUACUGGAGAAUGGUAGGAGGAACGUGGCACCUCUCGGGGUGUGUUAUAGCCUCCUACUGGAUACAGCGACCGAGACCGAGGACAGCAGCGUACUCGCAAGAGCGGGCCUUCGGGCACCUUUACGCUUAGGGCGUUGGCAUAAUGGCCCUCUACCACCCGUCUUGAAACACGGACCAAGGAGUCUAACAUGUAUGCGAGUCUUUGGGUGGCAAACCCAUAGGCGCAAUGAAAGUGAAUUCAGGUGGGAUCCGCAAGGUGCACCAUCGACCGAUCCUCACGUCUUUUAAGUCGUGGAUUUGAGUAAGAGCAUACCUGUUGGGACCCGAAAGAUGGUGAACUAUGCCUGAAUAGGGUGAAGCCAGAGGAAACUCUGGUGGAGGCUCGUAGCGGUUCUGACGUGCAAAUCGAUCGUCAAAUUUGGGUAUAGGGG
rnacentral:rRNA from 1 species